AGAAUCAACGCUGGCGGCGUGCCUAACACAUGCAAGUCGCACGAGAAAGGGGCUUCGGCCCUGAGUAAAGUGGCGCACGGGUGAGUAACACGUGACUAACCUACCCUCGAGUGGGGAAUAACCUAGAGAAAUCUGGGCUAAUACCGCAUAACACUUACGAGUCAAAGCAGCAAUGCGCUUGAGGAGGGGUCGCGGCAGAUUAGUUAGUUGGCAGGGUAAUGGCCUACCAAGACAAUGAUCUGUA
rnacentral:rRNA from 1 species